rnacentral:rRNA from 1 species
GACGAACGCUGGCGGCGUGCUUAACACAUGCAAGUCGAACGAAGAGCGAUGGAAGCUUGCUUCUAUCAAUCUUAGUGGCGAACGGGUGAGUAACGCGUAAUCAACCUGCCCUUCAGAGGGGGACAACAGUUGGAAACGACUGCUAAUACCGCAUACGAUCUAAUCUCGGCAUCGAGGAUAGAUGAAAGGUGGCCUCUACAUGUAAGCUAUCACUGAAGGAGGGGAUUGCGUCUGAUUAGCUAGUUGGAGGGGUAACGGCCCACCAAGGCGAUGAUCAGUAGCCGGUCUGAGAGGAUGAACGGCCACAUUGGGACUGAGUCACGGCCCAGACUCCUACGGGAGGCAGCAGUGGGGAAUCUUCCGCAAUGGACGAAAGUCUGACGGAGCAACGCCGCGUGAGUGAUGACGGCCUUCGGGUUGUAAAGCUCUGUUAAUCGGGACGAAAGGCCUUCUUGCGAACAGUUAGAAGGAUUGACGGUACCGGAAUAGAAAGCCACGGCUAACUACGUG